rnacentral:rRNA from 1 species
AUUGAACGCUGGCGGCAGGCCUAACACAUGCAAGUCUGGCGAGCGGCGGACGGGUGAGUAAUGUGUGGGGAUCUGCCUGAUGGCGGGGGAUAACUACUGGAAACGGUAGCUAAUACCGCAUACCAUCAGAUGAUCCCAUAUGGGCUUAGCUAGUAGGGAGGGUAACGGCUUACCUAGGCGACGAUCCCUAGCUGGUCUGAGAGGAUGAUCGGCCACACGGGAACGGAGACAGCGACCAGACUCCUACGGGAGGCAGCAGGGGGGAAUAUUGCACAAUGGGCGCGAGCCUGAUGCAGCCAUGCCGCGUGUAUGAAGAAGGCCGUCGGGUUGUAAAGUACUUUCAGUCGGGAGGCGUUACCGACAGAAGAAGCACCGGCUAACUCCGUGCCAGCAGCCGCGGUAAUAC